rnacentral:rRNA from 1 species
UACGUAGGUGGCAAGCGUUGUCCGGAAUUAUUGGGCGUAAAGCGCGCGCAGGCGGUCCUUUAAGUCUGAUGUGAAAGCCCACGGCUCAACCGUGGAGGGUCAUUGGAAACUGGGGGACUUGAGUACAGGAGAGAAGAGUGGAAUUCCACGUGUAGCGGUGAAAUGCGUAGAGAUGUGGAGGAACACCGGUGGCGAAGGCGGGUCUCUGGGCAGUAACUGACGCUGAGACGCGAAAGCGUGGGGAGCGAACAGG